CCGAGUGGUUAAGGAGACAGACUUGAAAUCUGUUGGGCUGCGCCCGCGCAGGUUCGAUCCCUGCUGUCGACG
rnacentral:tRNA from 1 species